UUUAUGGAGAGUUUGAUCCUGGCUCAGGACGAACGCUGGCGGCGUGCCUAAUACAUGCAAGUCGAGCGGAGUUUUAAAAGCUUGCUUUUAAAACUUAGCGGCGGACGGGUGAGUAACACGUGGGCAACCUGCCCUGUAGACUGGGAUAACUUCGGGAAACCGAAGCUAAUACCGGAUAAUCUUUGGA
rnacentral:ncRNA from 1 species